GUGAGAUUUGUUGUGAGGUUAUUCUUGCUCAAACCUCACAAGAAAAAACACAAUAACUCACCAUCAUGAGGUGAAAAGCACUUUGCUGUGAACCAGCUGUUUUAAGUAUAUGAACAAACAAAACAAAAUAAAGAAAUUGACAACCAAGAGAAGAAUUCAAAAUUCGAAAGAACAAGGCAGGAGCAGCUGCAGUUUUACGCAAUGUUCUGCAAGUAGCAUUCUGAGUUGCAAGGAGGGAAGCUAACUUCGACCAACCCUCGAGGCCUGCAAAUGUUGUGGUUGAAGUUAGCAGAAGCGUUAAAUUCAUUAGGAGAGCCAACAUACAGCAACCAAAUGGAAGAGUCGGUAACACACUGGAAACACCAAUUGCGUUGAUAAACGCGCAAACCCACGCGCUGAUUCUUGUUGGAUGCCCUCCAGCUGUAGAGAUAUCAGAAUUUAAAGAGAAUUACCUACUCCUCCAACCUUUGGGGCAGCAGUGGUCGAUGGAUUGCCGGGUGUUGGGAGUUUGGGUUUCCAGGUAUUGCCGCCAUUGUAUAUAACAACGGACCCAGUCCCUGCUCCCACUCAAGCUCCAGCUCCAAUUCCAGCACCAACACCAUCUCCAGUUCUAGCUCCUGCUCCAGUUCCAACUCCAGCUUUUCCUGCUAUAUAUCCCACCCCUUUACCUUCUUCACCAUCACUUCCCAUUUCAUCACCUCUUAUCCUAUCUUUUCCCAUCCUACCUUCUCCUACCCCAUCAACUUUAGCAGCAAAAGUGCUUGGAGCUUCUUCUUCUUUAAUGGCGUAGACACCGUUUACGCGGUUAUAGCCGAGGAUGGAUGUAUGUGUAAAAGUUCCCUGAUUGCCAUUCACUUGGGAGUGACGAGAAACACUACCAAUGAAAAGGAAAUGCAAUACAUUGGCGC